AGGGCGUAUAGUGGAUUGCUUGGCAUUAGAAGCUGAUGAAGGACGUGACUAACUACGAUAUGCUUCGGGGAGUUGUAAGUAAACUUUGAUCCGGAGAUUUCCGAAUGUGGCAACACGCUAGUGGUAAUGUGCUAGCAUCUAACAGUGAAUACAUAGCUGUUAUGAGAGUAACCCAGGGAACUGAAACAUCUUAGUACCUGGAGGAAAAGAAAGAAAAAUCGAUUUCCUUAGUAGUGGCGAGCGAAAAGGAAAGAGCCCAAACCAGUCUUUGGACUGGGGUUGUAGGACCUUAUAUACGGAGUUACAAAACUAUAUUAUAGCAGAAGCAGUUGGAAAGCUGAACAAUAUAAGGUGAUAGUCCUGUAUGCGAAAUAAUAUAGACUCUUUAGGGUAUCCUGAGUACGGCGGGGCACGUGAAACCUUGUCGGAAUCAACGGGGACCAUCCCGUAAGGCUAAAUACUCUCUAAUGACCGAUAGUGAACAAGUACCGUGAGGGAAAGCUGAAAAGAACCCCGGGAGGGGAGUGAAAUAGAUAAUGAAACUAUAUGCUUACAAAAAGUCAAAGCCCGUUAAUGGGUGAUGGCGUGCCUUUUGCAGAAUGAACCGGCGAGUUAUUGUAUUAUGCAAGGUUAAGUGGAAAACAUGGAGCCGAAGCGAAAGCGAGUCUUAAUAGGGCGACUUAGUAUGAUGCAAUAGACCCGAAACCAAGUGAUCUAGCCAUGAGCAGGUUGAAGGUGAGGUAAUACUCACUGGAGGACCGAACAGGUGUACCCGGAAACGUGCUCUGAUGACUUGUGGCUAGCGGAGAAAUUCCAAACGAACUUGGAUAUAGCUGGUUCUCCCCGAAAUAGGUUUAGGCCUAGCGUUAUAAUUAAGCUUGCUGGAGGUAGAGCACUGAAUGGAUGAGGGCGGCAUCUCGCUGUACCAAUUUCAAUCAAACUCCGAAUGCCAGUGUAGUAUUUAUAGCAGUCAGUGUAUGGGUGAUAACGUCCAUACGCGAGAGGAAAAUAAUCCAGAUCACCAGUUAAGGUCCCAAAAUUUAUGCUAAGUGGGAAAGGAUGUGGAGUUGUCAAAACAGCUAGGAGGUUGGCUUAGAAGCAGCCAUCCUUUAAAGAGUGCGUAAUAGCUCACUAGUCGAGUGACACUGCGCCGAAGAUGUACCGGGGCUAAGCAUAAUACCGAAACUGUGAAUUCUUAUGAAUGGUAGGGGAGCGUUCCAAUUGCGAUGAAGGUAGACCGUGAGGACUGCUGGAGCGUUUGGAAGUGAGAAUGCCGGUGUGAGUAGCGCAAGCUGGGUGAGAAUCCCAGCCACCGAUUGUCUAAGGUUUUCUGGGGAAGGUUCGUCCUCCCAGAGUAAGUCGGGACCUAAGGCGAGGCUGAAAAGCGUAGUCGAUGGACAACAGGUUGAUAUUCCUGUACCGCCUAUGUAACUGAUGGAGUGACGAAGAAGGCUAACAAGAGCCAGUUAUUGGAUUCUGGUCUAAGCACAAAGACUUGUGAGUAGGUAAAUCCGCUACACUAUAAAGUUGAAGUGUUAUGGUGACGAGAACUUCGGUUCUUUAAAUCUUGUGACGCCAUGCUUCCAAGAAAAGCUUCUAGGGCUAAUUACAUAGGCGCCCGUACCGCAGAACCGCCACAGGUGGACAAGAAGAGUAUUCUAAGGUGAGCGAGAGAACUAUGGCCAAGGAACUCGGCAAAAUGACCCCGUAACUUCGGGAGAAGGGGAGGUUACUUCGGUAACCCGCAGUGAAUAGUCCCAGGCAACUGUUUACCAAAAACACAGCUCUCUGCUAAACCGUAAGGUGAUGUAUAGGGGGUGACACCUGCCCAGUGCUGGAAGGUUAAGAGGAAGGGUUAGUAUGGCGUAAGCUAUGAUACGAAGCUCUGAAUUGAAGCCCCAGUGAACGGCGGCCGUAACUAUAACGGUCCUAAGGUAGCGAAAUUCCUUGUCGGGUAAAUUCCGACCCGCACGAAAGGUGUAAUGAUCUGGGAACUGUCUCGGCCAUAGACUCGGUGAAAUCUUAAUACCUGUGAAAAUGCAGGUUACCCGCAACAGGACGGAAAGACCCCGUGGAGCUUUACUGUAGCUUGAUAUUGAGCUUCGGUAUGUUAUGUAGAGGAUAGGUGGGAGACGUUGAUACUAUGGCGCCAGCUAUAGAGUAGUCAUCCUUGGAAUACCACCCUUAACAUAUUGGAGUUCUAACCUAGACCCAUUAUCUGGGCCA
rnacentral:rRNA from 1 species